rnacentral:lncRNA from 1 species
AGCAGUUUCAUAAUAGCAUGCAAUAAUUUCAUAAUCAUAGAACAAGUAAUCAGAGACUAAUUCAUGGUAAAAUUGUACCAAAAUCAUAUCUUGAUACAAAAGCCACAAUAAUUAUGCAAUUCCCGAGACAGAUCCACAAUCAAAGGGUAUAAACAGCCACCCCAAAAGGAGAAUCCUGAAACCAACAUACCUAUAAACAAGAACCCAGAAAAGAACCGAACUUGAAAGAACAGAAAUAGAAAAGCUUUACAAGUAUCAGAAGGGCUUAGCUUUGGCAGUGAAAAAGAGGGCUAUAGAAAGAGAGUUCUCUCUCUCUCAUGACCUGUUUCUUGUUGGUUUUGUACCUGUGACUACAACUAACAAGUGGACGAGGAGAGAGAGAGAUGUUCCCAAGUAAAACCACAAUUUUUGUUAGCUACACGCCUAUAC